rnacentral:lncRNA from 1 species
GUCUACCAGCUUGAAUCUCGUGCCGUAUUGUGCAAAUAGACAAGUGUAGACUACAUUUUUUUCAGAAAAAUUCUAACUGCUCAUUUCUAAACUGCAUGAAACAGUGGUUUGCUGUGAAUCUUUACCCUCUAGCACUCUAGCACUGUUUAGAUAUUAACCCAAAGCACAAUUGGAUGUGGCAGUCUCAGACUGUGACUUGAAGCAAGCACUCUUCAUGUUUAUAAGAGGAUGAUCAAGUCACAUGCUAACAAACUGUGGAAGUUACCAAGUUACCAAAAUGGUCACAAUACAUGAGGAUGGAUACAAAACAGUACAAUUUUGCCUUCAUUAUGAAACAUCGAGUGUGUCUUCCUCUGAUAACCUGAGUAGGCAUUAGGCAGUUCCACUAGCUGAAGUGUUGACAACAUGAAGACCGUUUAUAUUAUUACACCCGCGACAAUCGGUCGAUCCUUGAGGCGGUUUGCGUCUAUGCAGCCAUAUUAGUCAAAGCUCAUUUCCGCCCACCUGUCUGGCGGCCUCUCAGACAAGGGGAAGCAACGCCAGCUCAGACUCAUACCUGCAAGCCCAUUCCUGUCAAGUAGGAAACCUGUUCUUCCUGGUGCAGUUCCCGAACGCCGUCUCACAGCAGGAAAAAAAAGACAUUGACAAUGAGUAGAACUGGAGUAGUAGUCGGUCUGCUUUUGGUGGCACUGCUGCUAACCUCCACAACGUCUAAUCCAGUAAAGAAAGGUGACAAUCUUCUUGAACUAAUCAAAAAGAGAGCUUUUGUCCGGUCAGGUUGCUGCUCUUGUUGUUGUCAUUGUUGCUGUUCUUGCUGCAACGGCAAUGGGACUGUGCUGGCAUGAAAUUAAAGACUCCGGGUCCUGUACCAAGAGUACGCCACACCACGAUCUAGAAUCUAAAAAUUACACCAACCAAAGCAUCGUAGAGACCAAUGGUUUAUUUCGUUGUUGGAGAUAUUAUAGAGACUUAUAGCACAACUAAAAAAAAUUAGUAUCUUGUGGUUAUUCGGUAAAAAUUUGCCACCUAAACCACUAAAUAUAAAGAAAGUGUCAAUAACUUUUAGUGAUCGCCAGUGUAUUUUUAAAACGCUUGCAAAUCAGGUCACAAGAAAUUUGCUUUUAGAAAACUGUUUAGACAACAUAUUCAUGAAGCAAUAAAACGGAUGUAAACAGAA